UUUAUCUCCUGUUUGUUCUUUUCAAGAAGUGGGCUCAAGAGAGACUCAAGUUCCAGUGAGGACUCAAGUGACAGCCACUCUGGCAGUGAUGAGGAGCAAGAACAGUGGAUGGAGAAAACAGCAGAUUUGGGAAGGCCUCAUUGCCAGGUGAAUGUACUGCCAUGGCUGCCUACAUGAACGCUGAGGUUGGCUAGCGUCAUGGUGCGAGUGGACAGACCGACGAUAUCUCCAAAGUGAAGAACAGGUUACAUCAUAAGUAGGACAGACCUCCUCAUAUGAAAGCUGUGGGUAUGCCCCAGGAG